rnacentral:rRNA from 1 species
CUUAAAGGAAUUGACGGGGCCCGCACAAGCGGUGGAGCAUGUGGUUUAAUUCGACGCAACGCGAAGAACCUUACCUGGGUUUGACAUCCUCUGACCGCCCUGGAAACAGGGUUUAUCCGACUUGUCGGAACAGAGUGACAGGUGCUGCAUGGCUGUCGUCAGCUCAUGUCGUGAGAUGUUGGGUUAAGUCCCGCAACGAGCGCAACCCUUGUCUCUAGUUGCCAAUAUUUAGUUAGGGACUCUAGAGAGACUGCCUCGGUUAACGGGGAGGAAGGUGGGGAUGACGUCAAGUCCUCAUGGCCUUUAUACCCAGGGCUACACACGUGCUACAAUGGGCUGUACAAAGGGUUGCUAACUCGCGAGAGUACGCUAAUCUCAAAAAGCAGUUCUCAGUUCGGAUUGGAGUCUGCAACUCGACUCCAUGAAGUUGGAAUCGCUAGUAAUCGUGGAUCAGCACGCCGCGGUGAAUACGUUCCCGGGCCUU